UAUUUGUCUCCAGCCGUUCUCUCCUUUCCUGCUUGGUUUUCCUGGAACGCAGAUGUUCAACGUAUCACAUAAAUUUAUAGCAGAACUCUACUCCAAUAAGCAGUCCAGUCCUGAAUGAAGCAAAUGCUAACCUUCAAGACAAAAUUGAAAUCCACAUGCUGGACCUUUGGACCUCUGGCACGUGUACUUCGGAUAUGGAAGACACAUCAUACAGUCCAGGUGUACAACAGCUCUGUGUCAUUGGCAGAAUGGACAGUUAAUGAUCAAAGCAGUGAUGAAGCUGUAUGGAUAGGUGAUAAAUUCAGCUCUUGUAAGUAAAUUGGACUUGCAAACAGG